ACUCAGAAAGCGAAUUAUCGCGAUAAGUUUCGGCCUUUUUUUUUGCUUUUUAGCUCUGAGUU
rnacentral:tRNA from 1 species